GGAGAAAGCGCUCUACUGGGCCAUUACUGACACUGAGAGGCGAAAGCUAGGGGAGCAAAAGGGAUUAGAUACCCCUGUAGUCCUAGCCGUAAACGAUGGGUACUAGGUGUUGUGUUUUAUAUACAGUACCGUAGCUAACGCGUUAAGUACCCCGCCUGGGGAGUACGCUCGCAAGGGUGAAACUCAAAGGAAUUGACGGGGGCCCGCACAAGCGGUGGAGCAUGUGGUUUAAUUCGAUGAUACGCGAGGAACCUUACCAGGGCUUGACAUAUACAGGCAAACUAUAGAGAUAUAGUCCUCUCUUCGGAGAUCUGUAUACAGGUGCUGCAUGGUUGUCGUCAGCUCGUGCCGUGAGGUGUUGGGUUAAGUCCCGCAACGAGCGCAACCCUUGUUGUCUGUUACCAUCAUUUAGUUGGGGACUCAGGCGAGACUGCCGGUGAUAAACCGGAGGAAGGUGGGGAUGACGUCAAAUCAGCAUGGCCCUUAUGUCCUGGGCUACACACGUGCUACAAUGGCCGAUACAAAGCGCAGCAAGACCGCAAGGUGGAGCGAAUCGCAAAAAGUCGGUCUCAGUCCGGAUUGGAGUCUGCAACUCGACUCCAUGAAGUUGGAAUCGCUAGUAAUCGCAUAUCAGCAUGAUGCGGUGAAUACGUUCCCGGGCCUUGUACACACCGCCCGUCACACCACCCGAGUUGGGAGUGCCCGAAGUCGUUAGUCUAACCGCAAGGAGGACGAUGCCUAAGGUAAGUCUAGUAAGGGGGGUGAAGUCGU
rnacentral:rRNA from 1 species